rnacentral:rRNA from 1 species
UACGAAGGGGGGCUAGCGUUGCUCGGAAUCACUGGGCGUAAAGGGCUCGUAGGCGGCCAACUAAGUCAUACGUGAAAUCCCUCGGCUUAACCGGGGAACUGCGUCUGAUACUGGAUGGCUUGAGUUCGGGAGAGGGAUGCGGAAUUCCAGGUGUAGCGGUGAAAUGCGUAGAUAUCUGGAGGAACACCGGUGGCGAAGGCGGCAUCCUGGACCGAUACUGACGCUGAGGAGCGAAAGCCAGGGGAGC